rnacentral:rRNA from 1 species
AUGUGUUUGAGCAUGAUGUUCCUCUUGCUGGUGAAGAUCCCCUGCCUCCUAAUGGUGAUGCACACCCUUUAUUUGGUCCACACACUACUGCCGAGCAAGCCUUCCAAGUCAGGUUGCAGGCUUGGCUGGUUCGUAAUGGAGUGUUUGGUCCAGGUGGGGCCAUUCCUCCUGCUGGAAAUGGCGCUAAUAUUCAAUUACUUGCUCCUCCCUCGCCAGACUUUGUUCCUGUCAGAGGACAGAUUAAUUUUCAAGAGAUGUUAA